rnacentral:rRNA from 1 species
AAAUUGAAGAGUUUGAUCAUGGCUCAGAUUGAACGCUGGCGGCAGGCCUAACACAUGCAAGUCGAACGGUAACAGGAAGCAGCUUGCUGCUUCGCUGACGAGUGGCGGACGGGUGAGUAAUGUCUGGGAAGCUGCCUGAUGGAGGGGGAU